GCCUGUAGCAAUACAGGAGCGGCAGACGGGAGAGUAACACGUGGGAACAUACCUUUUGGUUCGGAACAACUGAGGGAAACUUCAGCUAAUACCGGAUAAGCCCUUACGGGGAAAGAUUUAUCGCCGAAAGAUUGGCCCGCGUCUGAUUAGCUAGUUGGUGAGGUAACGGCUCACCAAGGCGACGAUCAGUAGCUGGUCUGAGAGGAUGAUCAGCCUCAUUGGGACUGAGACACGGCCCAAACUCCUACGGGAGGCAGCAGUGGGGAAUAUUGGACAAUGGGCGCAAGCCUGAUCCAGCCAUGCCGCGUGGGUGAUGAAGGCCUUAGGGUUGUAAAGCCCUUUCGGCGGGGAAGAUAAUGACGGUACCCGCAGAAGAAGCCCCGGCUAACUUCGUGCCAGCAGCCGCGGUAAUACGAAGGGGGCUAGCGUUGCUCGGAAUCACUGGGCGUAAAGCGCACGUAGGCGGAUUCUUAAGUCGGAGGCGAAAUCCUGGAGCUCAACUCCAGAACUGCCUUUGAUACUGAGGAUCUUGAGUUCGGGAGAGGUGAGUGGAACUGCGAGUGUAGAGGUGAAA
rnacentral:rRNA from 1 species